AUGCAGGCAGAGGGUGGUGGGCUUGGUUUACUCACUCUGUCAGGCUUCCAUGCCCAAUUAUGGAAGAGAGAGGCCAAUUCUGAUGGUGCUGCUUCAUGGAUCAUGGGAAGAACUUUUGAACUUGACAAGCUAAUUUCCCUUGAUUCAGAGAAGAUGGGGCGCGUAUUGGUAGCAGGGUUUGCGGAGUACAAUAAUAUGGUGCUCCUGUGUACACCUAUUGGACUCUUCAUUGUCCAGCUUCAGUCAUUGGAAUUCAAGAAACUCUCUGAAACCUGCGUCCCCUUGCACUAUCAUCCAUUUGAAAGUGUUUACCCUGCAGGUAAUGGCAUGCCUUGGCACUUCAUCUAUGAAAAAAAGAAGUUGAUUUUCCAUAAUUGGUUGAUGGAAUCCUGCCUACUUGUUUCUUUUCCUGCUUCAUGA
rnacentral:rRNA from 1 species